UCGCGUGUCGAGUUGGCGUGAAAUCCGUCAAAUCCUUGCUACGCCCUUUGACAGUACCACAUGCGCAUAUUCUAUUUGAUUCCAUUAUUCUUAAUCCGGUCUCGGUAAUCAAACUCAAUUUCAAAUUCCCCGGGAGCCGACAAACGUGUGCCGAACCGCAGAUACCGAGAGAUAGAACCUGCUUCAGUUUAACGCUCCCGUAGUUCCCGUGUUCCGUCUUCGCCAUCCGUUUGAAGAACGUGCUCGUCGACACCUCGCUUCACUUUGUGUUUGAUGGGAAAUAUGAGACCCGCUUCUCUUCUGCUCCUCAUCCAGGGAUGAAUAAUGGCAAAAUCAAGCACAAAAGCACGAAAUCAGUGUUACGGUUCCAUAGGGUUUUCUACGGAAGAGAUAUUGCCAAGGCGCGCAGCCUUCGCGUCGGGGUGAAGAGAAAGGCCUUUCAGGCUUUAGAGCAGCUUAUUGGAUCCGAUAUCCAGAGUUAUCCUACACCAGCCAGCGCCUCGGUUCCAGGAGGAGGGUACUUAAAUUGAAAAGGGAACCGAAGACACAUUCUCGGGGCGUAAAACGAUAAUAAUAGAGAUUCGUCUGUGUGAUAAA